GUUGACUUGUAUUUGCAUUAUAAUUUUAAGAAAAAAUUGUUUUAUAGUCUCUCAAAACUCUUUAUAGAGUGGCUCUUGUUAUUAACUUGUGUUUUAAAAAGCUGUAUAUUUUAUAUGUAACAAUUGGCGAGACUUUGAUAAAGUAUUUGUCUUGUCUUGUCUUAAUAUAGGUAAAACAUGUACAGGUAUGAUAUAGGUAAAAAAUAUUAACAGGUAAAUGUGGCGCAAUUUCAUUUCAUUUAUUGGCGCAAUUAAUACCACCAAAAUAAAAGAGAGUGGCGCAAUUAAUACCUUUUCAAAACUGCAAUUGGCGCAAAUUGAUUCUGCCCAAAAAUACAA
rnacentral:lncRNA from 1 species